rnacentral:rRNA from 1 species
AGGGUUCGAUUCUGGCUCAGAGCGAACGCUAGCGGAAUGCUUUAUACAUGCAAGUCGAACGGAUUUUGAUUUUGUAGCAAUACAAAGAUUACGAUUAGUGGCGAACGGGUGAGUAAUAGUUAGGAACUUGCCGAAUAGUGGGGGACAACAGUUAGAAAUGACUGCUAAUACCGCAUAUUCCCGAGAGGGAAGAUUUAUUGCUAUUCGAGAGGCCUAACCACGAUUAGCUUGUUGGCGGGGUAAAUGCCCACCAAGGCAGUGAUCGUUAGCCGAUCUUAGAGGAUGAUCGGCCACAUUGGGACUGAGACACGGCCCAGACUCCUACGGGAGGCAGCAGUAGGGAAUAUUGGACAAUGGACGCAAGUCUGAUCCAGCAAUUCCGCGUGAGUGAUGAAGGUGUUAUGCAUUGUAAAACUCUUUUGCCCAUGAAGACAAUGACGGUAGUGGGAGAAUAAGCACCGACUAACUAUGUGCCAGCAGCUGC